UGUAUGGCCAUACAUGUUUUAUGGAGUUGAGAAAAAAGUGGACAUUUUUCGAUAGUGGGAGGGGGCAAUUUCGACCAUUUCCCUUUAGUAAACCAAACCAAAACCCUAAUCUUUCCCUAUAAAUAACAACAACAAUUCGCCGCCAUAGAUUUACUGCUUCAACAUCAUUAAAAGUUCUUUUGCAGUCAAGUUUGUUGGUUGAUUGAUGGGAUGUUAUUGAGCACCAAAAUACAUGGUCUUUCAUUUUAUACUAUCGUCAGACUAUACGAGCAUGGUGCUACAUCAAGGUUUUUCUUAUUAUCUGAUGCUACUCGACUCUUCAUGUUACAUCAUGUGGCAAUUGAUGUUUUGUUAAUAAGAAAUACAUCAGUUACAUCUAUAAGUCGCAAUCUUGCUCAUCAGUUUUGUGUGGUGUUUACCACUGUCUGCCCUCUUCUAAGUCUUUGAAGAUUGGUUAGUUAACUCGACUAAUGUAAACGAUUUGAGCACCAAAAUACAUGGUCUGCCGUUUUUAUACGCAGACUAUACGAGCAUGGUGCUA